rnacentral:misc_RNA from 1 species
GGAAUAAAAGUCGUAACAAGGUUUCCGUAGGUGAACCUGCGGAAGGAUCAUUAUCGAAAUACUUAUUUAGCGUUCCGUGCUAUCCCAUUGUUUUAUUUACCCUGUUGCUUCCACUGGAUGAGUUUCCAUACCUUGUGUUUGAGAAACUUUGGCUUGUGUAAGAUUCAUUCACGGCCAGCCAGUGAGAAGACCAUUUACAAAACCCUGUUAAGAACCAAUUGUCUGAAUAUUUUACUCCAAUGAAAUAAAACUUUCAACAACGGAUCUCUAGGCUCUU